rnacentral:misc_RNA from 1 species
GUCCCGACGAAAUCCUACAGCUUGAGAUCCUACAUAUAAUUUUUGUUUGCCCUUGCCCUUUUCAGAGUCUUUGAUAUUGUUCUUAGACUCUACAGAAGAGGUCUUCUCAUUAUUAGCAGUGUCAUCAAUAUCCAUUUGNNNNNNNNNNNAAUUGAUCCAACAACAGAUGGAAACACGGCCUUAGGUGCAUCCUCGCCAGCGUAGCCAGCUUUGCAAGUAUGCGAGCCCAGGUCAAUCACUAUAGCUG